AACAGGAUUAGAUACCCUGGUAGUCCCACGCCCGUAAACGAUGUCCGACCAGCCCGUUGGGUGGCCUAGCCGCACUUUGUGGCGAAGUUAACGCGAUAAGUCGACCGCCUGGGGAGUACGGCCGCAAGGUUAAAACUCAAAUGAAUUGACGGGGGCCCGCACAAGCGGUGGAGCAUGUGGUUUAAUUCGAUGCAACGCGAAGAACCUUACCUACUCUUGACAUCCUGCGAACUUGUGAGAGAUCACUUGGUGCCUUCGGGAACGCAGAGACAGGUGCUGCAUGGCUGUCGUCAGCUCGUGUUGUGAAAUGUUGGGUUAAGUCCCGUAACGAGCGCAACCCUUGUCCUUAUUUGCCAGCACGUAAUGGUGGGAACUCUAAGGAGACUGCCGGUGACAAACCGGAGGAAGGUGGGGACGACGUCAAGUCAUCAUGGCCCUUACGAGUAGGGCUACACACGUGCUACAAUGGCCGGUACAAAGGGUUGCCAACUCGCGAGAGUGAGCUAAUCCCGAAAAGCCGGUCUCAGUCCGGAUCGGAGUCUGCAACUCGACUCCGUGAAGUCGGAAUCGCUAGUAAUCGUGAAUCAGAAUGUCACGGUGAAUACGUUCCCGGGCCUUGUACACACCGCCCGUCACACCAUGGGAGUGGACUGCACCAGAAGUGGUUAGCCUAACGCAAGAGGGCGAUCACCACGGUGUGGUUCAUGACUGGGGUGAAGUCGUAACAAGGUAACC
rnacentral:rRNA from 1 species